AGAGGUAUUGAGUUCAAGCCUUAGCUUGGGCAAUUUUUUUUGUUUUUAAAUGAAUAAACCCUUAUCAUUAAUCAGUAGGCUUAUAAAUAAAUGUUGGUAAAAUAUAACAGAAUGGGCCUGCGGGUCUAGUGGUUAAGUGGAGUGGCAAAGUGCUGCUGGUCUUGAGUUUGAGUCUUGGUGUGUGUAAGGGAGUGUUUUAUUUUGCUACUUAUGCCGUGUAGGUGUUCUAGUUUAGUUGAAAUACUAAAGAGUUUGAGUGGAAUUUGAAUUAGGUGGUUGAGGGAGGGGUGGACGGUUUUGGGGAGUGGAUUAAGGGAUAUGGUGAGAAAAUUAAGGAGUGCGAAGUUUGAGAACAUCCAAAUUGUGGUUGCAAGUUC
rnacentral:lncRNA from 1 species